AUUGAACGCUGGCGGCAUGCUUUACACAUGCAAGUCGAACGGUAACAGGCCGCAAGGUGCUGACGAGUGGCGAACGGGUGAGUAAUGCAUCGGAACGUGCCCAGUCGUGGGGGAUAACUACUCGAAAGAGUAGCUAAUACCGCAUACGAUCUCUGGAUGAAAGCGGGGGACCGUAAGGCCUCGCGCGAUUGGAGCGGCCGAUGUCAGAUUAGGUAGUUGGUGGGGUAAAGGCUCACCAAGCCAACGAUCUGUAGCUGGUCUGAGAGGACGACCAGCCACACUGGGACUGAGACACGGCCCAGACUCCUACGGGAGGCAGCAGUGGGGAAUUUUGGACAAUGGGCGCAAGCCUGAUCCAGCAAUGCCGCGUGCAGGAAGAAGGCCUUCGGGUUGUAAACUGCUUUUGUACGGAACGAAACGGCUCUGGUUAAUACCCGGGGCUAAUGACGGUACCGUAAGAAUAAGCACCGGCUAACUACGUG
rnacentral:rRNA from 1 species